GCUUGUCUCAAAGAUUAAGCCAUGCAUGUAUAAGUUUAAUCGUUUAUCGAGAAACCGCGAACGGCUCAUUACAAUGGCCAUUAUUUACUUGAUCUUGAUUGUCUAAAUGGAUAACUGUGGAAAAGCUAGAGCUAAUACAUGCACUAAAGCUUUGUCCUUACGGAAAAGCGCAUUUAUUAGAACAAAACCACGCGGCUUCGGCUGCUUCUUGUUGACUCAGAAUAACUUAGCUGACCGCAUGGCCUUGUGCCGGCGGCGUGUCUUUCAAGCGUCCACUUUAUCAACUUGACGGGAGCAUAAUCGACUCCCGUGGUGGUGACGGAUAACGGAGGAUCAGGGUUCGACUCCGGAGAAGGGGCCUGAGAAAUGGCCACUACGUCUAAGGAUGGCAGCAGGCGCGCAAAUUACCCACUCUCGGCUCGAGGAGGUAGUGACGAGAAAUAACGAGACUGUUCUCUUUGAGGCCGGUCAUCGGAAUGGGUACAAUUUAAACCCUUUAACGAGUAUCAAGCAGAGGGCAAGUCUGGUGCCAGCAGCCGCGGUAAUUCCAGCUCUGCAAAUACAUAGAAUUAUUGCUGCGGUUAGAAAGCUCAUAGUUGGAUUCGUAUCGAUACCUUGGAACCCUUCGGGUGUCUCUAGGUGUUAUCGAUUUAUCGUAAUGUUCGGUUUUGAGUCCUUAACAGGAUUCUUAACAGGCAUUGCAAGUUUACUUUGAACAAAUCAGAGUGCUUCAAACAGGCGUUUUCGCUUGAAUGAUCGUGCAUGGAAUAAUAGAAAAUGAUUUCGGUUCAGUUUUAUUGGUUUUACGGACUGAGAUAAUGGUUAACAGAGACAAACGGGGGCAUUUGUAUGGUCCCGUGAGAGGUGAAAUUCUUGGACCGUGGCCAGACAAACUACAGCGAAAGCAUUUGCCAAGAAUGUUUUUAUUAAUCAAGAACGAAAGUCAGAGGUUCGAAGGCGAUCAGAUACCGCCCUAGUUCUGACCGUAAACGAUGCCAACUAGCGAUCCGCCGAUGGAAAUUAUAUUGCCUUGGUGGGGAGCUUCCCGGAAACGAAAGUCUUCCGGUUCCGGGGGAAGUAUGGUUGCAAAGCUGAAACUUAAAGGAAUUGACGGAAGGGCACCACCAGGAGUGGAGCCUGCGGCUUAAUUUGACUCAACACGGGGAAACUCACCCGGCCCGGACACUGUGAGGAUUGACAGAUUGAUAGCUUUUUCAUGAUUCAGUG
rnacentral:rRNA from 1 species